GGCCCCCUCCCAAAAAUCCUGAAUUCCAAGCCCCACUGGCCAGCCCAAGAGGCAAGAGCCCAUGACCCAUGUAAAUAAAUUAAAAAAAAAAAAAAAACCUCAGCAGCAAACCUAACGGAGAAAGUGAAAGACGAAGGAAAAAUAAAAAGAAAGGAAACAGAGAGAUAGAGAGGCGAGAUAGAGAGAUAGAGACUACCCAUGCCGACGCUGCUACAACAGUACCCACGCCACACCGAUGUCGACGUGAGACGGCGAGAGUCUACCCAGACCCAGUACGGCAAUACCCACACUGACGUCGUCAUCAUCACACGAGAUGGUGAGAGUCUUAGCUGUCACCGUCGCCCACGCGAGCCCCAUCUUGCCACCGUCGCCGGUUGCUCAAGCCUUCAUAGGCCCAAACUUUCCGGCGUGGCUCUAUAACGUUGACAAUCAAUUGAGCCCUUGGACUUAAUGUAGGCUCCAGAAACAGUGCAUCAGCACCCAUAAGAUCAACCAUACAGUUUUGUGGCUCAUGGACUUCAAACAUUACAGCAGGAUAGGAAGUAACAUCAACCAUCAAAUGACUCCAUAUAAUCUCGAAGAAAACGGCUUGAUCCUUCAGCACGACUUCAUAUAUAGACAAUUCUGUAUUGAAUUUUACAGUCUUGCCAUCUCUUUUUUUCAUUGUAAAAUUUAUAUUGCCCACAAACCUCUCCAUUGAGACCCACUAGCAGCAAGGGCAUGUUUGCCACCUAGAAGAAUCUUUUCAUCAAGGAUGGUAAGUUCCAUAAGGACGCCAUUGUUUGCUUGACCCACUUCAUCAUUGUCAUGUAGCACAGUUGGCUUGUAAUAUGCCUGCUCUUUGAUGAGUGUAGCUUCUCCGUAAGUAAUUAUCUCAUUACUAUCAAUUGCAGAAUGUUGAUCAAUGACAUAUUCCCUGUCAUCUUCACAAAGCUAUAACUUGUCACUUGUACCUUCAAGAAGUUGUAACUCUUUGUAAAGUUGUAAUUUACAACUAUGUUUUUGUUGGCUUU